UAUGGGUUGUAAACUGCUUUUGUUCAGGAAUAAACCCUUGUACGUGUACCUGCCUGAUUGUACCGUAAGAAUAAGCAUCGGCUAACUCCGUGCCAGCAGCCGCGGUAAUACGGAGGAUGCAAGCGUUAUCCGGAUUCAUUGGGUUUAAAGGGUGCGUAGGCGGAUUUGUAAGUCAGUGGUGAAAUCCUGCAGCUUAACUGUAGAACUGCCAUUGAUACUGCAAGUCUUGAGUUCACUUGACGUGGGCGGAAUGUGUCAUGUAGCGGUGAAAUGCUUAGAUAUGACACAGAACACCGAUAGCGAAGGCAGCUCACUAAAUCUGAAUUGACGCUGAGGCACGAAAGCGUGGGGAUCAAACAGGAUUAGAUACCCUGGUAGUCCACGCUGUAAACUAUGAUUACUCGAUGUCGGCGAUAUACUGUCCGAGACUAAGCGAAAGCAUUAAGUAAUCCACCUGGGGAGUACGAUCGCAAGAUUGAAACUCAAGGAAUUGAC
rnacentral:rRNA from 1 species